UGUGUCACUGGUAUACUUCAUUGGAUGCUUCUACCUGUGUUCUCAAAAUAUUAUCACAUGGCUAAUUACCAAUUUAACACAAUAUUUACAAUGAUCUAUUUACUGCUAUUUACACACAAAAUAAACCCAUAAACUAAUAACCCUAUAGUCUCCUCUCCAAUCAGUCUCUCCCGGAACGUUGUGUUGGCUUUCAUACACCUGGGGGACUCUUUUGGCAGAACACCCCGGAGCAGACACGUGGCAGAACAGACCAACAGAGGUUUCCCGUGUCUUAUGAACUGACGGGGCACCGCAGGGAGAAACGUCAUCGUCUCUGACUGAGUGCCAGUGUCUUCCCUGUUCCCUCUGGCUGCGGUCGGGAGGCUGAGGCAGGAAAAGCCAACACUAGGAUCAGCAGUUAUUCAUGGAGAGACCUUUGUCUGGUCAGCUAACAUUACUACCAAGCAGAUCAAGGACCCUAAUACUGCAUCCAACAACACAGCCAGUACUGCAUGUUUUUUUCUGGAUGGAGUGAGGAGAUUCGGAUGGCCUUACAAGGUAAAAGGUGACCAGUUGAAAAUGCCGACAUUGCCCGGAUGAAGUUCACUGUGAGAGGCACGGGAUGUGGAAGACUUAUA